rnacentral:lncRNA from 1 species
GAGUGUCACCAACCGUGCCCCGCCAACUUCAGCCCCGUUUGCGGCAGUGAUGGGGUAACUUACCUAAAUGACUGCGCUUUGGAGAUUGCCGAGUGUGAAAAUCCGUUACUUUUCAAGGUUUCCGACACCGCCUGUUAGUAAACAUGUUUGCAAGGAGGAAAACUACAGACUACAACACCUAUACGUAAUAAUAAACAUGUGUAUAUUAAAGGCCAAAAUAAAUACA